CGGGGCAUAGCUCAGUGGUAGAGCAUUCGACUGUAGAUCGGGAGAUCCUUGGUUCAAACCCGUGUGUCCUCU